ensembl:misc_RNA Metazoa_SRP Metazoan signal recognition particle RNA
GCUGGGCGUGGUGGCACAAGCCUGUAAUCCCAGCUACUCAGGAGGCUGAGGCAGGAGAAUCGCUUGCACCCAGGAGGCAGAGGUUGCAGUGAGCCGAGAUCAUGCCACUGCACUCCAGCCUGGGUGACAGAGCGAGACUCUGUCUCAA